GAGUCGGGUAGCACCGACGCUGUUGACAUCGUCACAUCGAGACAGGACGGCGAGCAGGUAGAAGCGAUGGCGGUUCUUUCUUUCCCUUCCACGGGCGGCCUCGAGAGCGAUGGUGUGCUCUAACACGGCGGGGGCGACACACAAGAGCUUUCUGGCGACUCAGCAACGACGAGCUUGCUGAGCACGAGCAUGGUCGAUAUUCCGGCUACUACGGACACGGCCAGAUAAAAUCUAAUAGUUCACCGCCUUAGGCUUGACCACGAUACCCUUGCUGUAGACUGUCCGCAAUUGGAUUUGGAGGGCAUGAUAUGCCAGUCGAAGGCCAACGCCAAUUUCGUCAACUUGGACAGCAUAGCAUAACAGACAUCGCAGAAUUGGCCAUCUCACAGUUGGAGUUUCUCAAUGAGGAAGGAGCAUGUGAUGGCAUGUGGUGAGUACUCGUGGACACACUUGCAUAAGAGACUGGGCAGCUGGAUCCAUCUCGGCGCAGCUCAUGCUUAGUUCCAACGAGCCAUCCCUCCUGGCGUAUGUGCGCCUCAGCUGCUUCGGUCACAAAUGGCAAUGCAGACAACUUUGGUCAAAGAUGUCUGGCGGCGAGGCCAUCAAUGUAAGACCCUUGCGCGUGUCAUGGGCAUCUAGGAAGAAAAAGAUUCAGAAAUCUAUAUGAAUUUGAUUUCAUCUUCUGAUUGUGAGGUACUAUACCCAACACACACUUUCAUGAUGCAUGUUUACUUAACACACUUAUUGCUGCAGAGCAUUGGUUAUCGUUUUAUUUCGGAUUUAUCUCUGAUUAUCAGAAUUCAUAAUCCUUUAAUUACCAGACCACUUUCUGUCGGUUCACUUAUUGUUCCUCUUUCUUAUCUUCUCCUAGAGGUACCAAUUGUAGCAGGUACGGUGUAGAUUUUUUCCUCUCAUCCUCAUUACCGUGCUUACUCGCACAAGUGCCUAAUUUCUACCAGAGGCAAAUUCAAACUUGCAUGAUGUGCUCCCCCACUUUUAGCGCUACAGAAUCUUUAGCUGUACAAAAUUGUUAUUGAAAAAAGGUAACAUUAGUGCAGCCGAGCGCCUGGUUCUUUGCAUUCACAAUGGGCAAAAAGUAACACCAGUGCAGCCGAGCACCUGUUCUCUGCAUUCGCACAAUAUUCAGUCUCAGCGAGUCAUUUUAGGCAAACAUGACACACACCGCAGAGGUGACUUAUUUAUAAGUUUAGCACAUUUCAUUCUCAGGUAUGUCGUGUGCGCUUUAGAAUAUGCAUGUUUCUACGAAAAUCCAUGUAGAAGUCCUUGGUUGCUAUAUUAUUCGCUGUUGACAUAUAUUUUUUCUUUUCCUUUGUCAAUAUUGCAGGAAACACAAGGACAUAUUAUGUGUCAAACAGUUGCAUCAAAUGUUUAUCGUGGCCGAUGCACAAAAUACGUAGAGACCUAUCAAAGAAAUCAUAGAAGCAACCGAUCCAGAUUCAGGCAAGGUCACACGCAGUAAGCAACAACAGCAAAAGUCAGGAAUCGGCCACUGCAUCGGUAAAAAGUACAACUUAUGGAAAAAGGAAAGCAACCAAUAAACUAUUCCUUCCAAAAAAAGGAACUUAACUUUAGAAUGACAUCAGCUUGAGUAAAUCCAUGGACUCCAGUCACUAGAAUAAUUUGUAUGGUCUCAUGGACCUAUGUGUUCUAUUUUCAGUAGCCUGUAAAAUUAAGUACUUAGCCAUCUACAUACAGCUACCUUAGUUAUCCUACUGUCUUUUGAAACCUGCCACUGUGAUAUACUUUCAGGGUGUUGUACUAUAUGAUGAAGUGCAUUAAUGCCUUAGGCAGUAAAUUAUUUUCCUAA